CUUGAACUGUUUUCGUUGCAUUUGUUGUGUUGCAUUGAUUUGAUCAGCGAAUACUUUGUAGGGCUUCAUGAACUCGAGACAACCACGCUGACUCGGUCAGCAGCAGCCUAUCGACAUCAUUAUUCUCAUUUCAAGAUAUAUCAAGGCUGCCAACAGUAGCAAGGGCACGUAACGGCUCGCGGGAAUAGAAGUGACUUCAGGGGAACGAAGCGACUGUUGAAGCUUUCAUCAGAUGAAAACCCAUUGCAAGCCAGAGAAAUACGGGCCGACUGCCAUGCAACGACAGGAUGACUACUCCCGAAUGUCCACUAUGUAAGCACGUUGACACAUCCAAACGUCCACUACAACAGGUCAUCUUGAACCUCACAUAUGCAAUGCUGUAUUUCUGAAUGGUUUACCACGCAUAUCCUGGAGGGGUGCUUUAGAUUGGCCACAAGCAAUGGCUGUCUACCAUGGCAUGGAAUCCACACUUCACUAACAUUGAAACUGAUACACUAUUGGUUUGAUUGGGUGGCAGUGCUGAUCUCAACAACACAGGUUUGAUCCCAGCCACAGUGGCCAUAUUUCGAUGCGGGUGAAAUGCUAAGACGCUUGUGUGCUUAAGCGUUUUUUCGAUUCGCCUGCACCACAUGAUCCAAUUUACAAAGUGCUGCAUCGUCAUUUGUUUCAAUGUUGCAGCAAUGGCAUUCUCAGAACCAUGCCAUUCAUUUCAAAAAAGCACACGAGAGGUACACUACUAAAACUAGUUUACGAUUUUCCUGUACCUCCUACUCUGACGGCGCUGGUUUGGUGCAGCCGCACGGAAAGCUUAACAAGCUGACUUCCCUUUCUUCUCGUCGUAAGUUUUUUCGCCUGUGCCUUUUUCAUAAAAUCUUCCAUAACAGCCCCCGCCUUCGUGCCAAUCUUUUUCUCUCACCGUCCUACGUGUCCUCUCGCAUCGAUCAUGCGCACAAAGUUGGUAUACCGAUAUGCCAAACAAGAAUGUGUUCAGAAUCUUUUGUCCCACGCACCAGCAAAGACUGGAACCAGCUCCCUGGAGCGACUGCUGCGAUUACUGACUAUCAGCUGUUUCGCG